GGCAGCGAGGCGGCGAAAACGUCUGAACCACGAAGAGGGAGCGAUGAACGCGAGGAACAACGGGCAAUCUCCGCCGAGCAGUCUCCGGUGGUGGUCAAGGAAGAAGGGGUGGCCGAGUGGUGUCUCUGAUCUCUGGGGGUGGGUGAGGAGGGGGAAGGGUAGAGUGCAGCACCUACAAGAGGCUGAAAUGUGAAA